UAGCGAAAUUCCUUGUCGGGUAAGUUCCGACCUGCACGAAUGGCGUAACGACUUCCCCGCUGUCUCGACCACGAACUCGGUGAAAUUGCAGUACGAGUAAAGAUGCUCGUUUCGCGCAGCAGGACGGAAAGACCCCGUGACCUUUACUAUAGUUUGGUAUUGGUGUUUGGUUUGGCUUGUGUAGGAUAGGUGGGAGACUGUGAAGCAUGGACGCUAGUUUGUGUGGAGUCGUUGUUGAAAUACCACUCUGGUCAAUCUGGAUGUCUAACUUCGGGCCAUGAUCUGGUUCAGGGACAGUGCCUGAUGGGUAGUUUAACUGGGGCGGUUGCCUCCUAAAGUGUAACGGAGGCGCCCAAAGGUUCCCUCAGCCUGGUUGGCAAUCAGGUGUUGAGUGUAAGUGCACAAGGGAGCUUGACUGUGAGACUGGCAGGUCGAGCAGGGACGAAAGUCGGGACUAGUGAUCCGGCGGUACGUUGUGGAACGGCCGUCGCUCAACGGAUAAAAGGUACCUCGGGGAUAACAGGCUGAUCUUGCCCAAGAGUCCAUAUCGACGGCAUGGUUUGGCACCUCGAUGUCGGCUCGUCGCAUCCUGGGGCUGGAGUCGGUCCCAAGGGUUGGGCUGUUCGCCCAUUAAAGCGGUACGCGAGCUGGGUUCAGAACGUCGUGAGACAGUUCGGUCCCUAUCCGCUGCGCGCGUUGGAAAUUUGAGAAAGGCUGUCCUUAGUACGAGAGGACCGGGACGGACGAACCUCUGGUAUGUCAGUUGUACCGCCAGGUGCAUGGCUGAUUGGCUACGUUCGGGAGGGAUAACCGCUGAAAGCAUCUAAGCGGGAAGCCUGUUUCGAGAUGAGAUUUCCUGGCACUUUGGUGUGUGAGGCUCCUUAUAGAUGAUGAGGUUGAUAGGCCGGGUAUGGAAGCGGGGACUGAAGACUCGUGGAGUUGACUGGUACUAAUAGGCCGAAGGCUUACUUU
rnacentral:rRNA from 1 species